UUCGCAAAGGAUUGCAACAAGUUAAUUACUCGUAUCUAAUCGAGGACUGAAUGUUAUCAACUAACUCCAACUUCCGCUGUAUGCCGAGAUUAGCAUGAAAACUUCAUGCUGUGUUCGGGCUAUCAGAACUUCGUAUCCUAUUAGAAGGUCGCUUCAAGUAAAAUGAGCUCAGCACAGUAAGUCCAGGAGAACAGGAUAGAAAAUGGCGAAGGAGUAAAAACUGCUACCUUGGAUACUUGAUAUGAAGGUUUCCUCUCUAAUAGACCCCCGAGAGAAAGUAUCAGAAACCUGCCUUUCAUCUGCAUUCCAGAGAAGCUGAAAAUAAUUUCAUGAAGUUUAGUUUCACACAAGAUCGGCUAGCUCAUUGGAUCGAAUCCCGACGUUUACCACGAUGCUUCUACAUCAUUGCUUCUACAUCAGAAGACAUUCCUUUAAUGUGUCCAUGAUGUACCCUCCCGGACAUCUAAGAAGCUGUGGACGAACUCCUGGUGCCUGCCAAUCAGAGCUACUAGUCCGUCUGGGUGAAAAUGAUUACGUGGCUGUAAGCUCUUUUUUACCAAGAUAUAAUGGGAUCAUGUGUACUUACUUAUAUUUGAUACCAUUAAAAACGUCGUCCUCCUUAUUCGUGCGCUAAAGAGUACUUAUGUUGAAUUACUUAAAGAUUAAAACAAUAGUAUUUUAUGGACAGCAAUUAACAACAGAUUUGAUAAAAAAAACAUGGCAAUUCCUGAAACUGGAAAAUUCUCCUUCCAUUUUGUAAUCCUGCAAUCCAAGUUUAUUGCCUGUAUCGUUGUUUUAGUUUUCAGCUUUUAUUUAUUUUUUCAAUAUAAUUAUUCUUUGAAUAAUUUGCUAUCAGAUAACUUUCUUUCGUCAAAGUGUUUUCCUGCAAAAGUUAAAAUUAUCCCCACCGGUUUUUCUACUCUACAGUAUUUUCAAAGAGAUCAAUAUAAAAUUCGUUAGAUUUAAAUUGAAUUGUCCAUCUACUGUCAUGGAUCUGAAAGCUGAAGAAUAAACAGUAAUAACGUUUUUCUCUAAAACGUAGAUAAUAGCAAUGGAGGAUUUGAAGUAUCAUGUAAAGUGUACGGGAAAUCAAGGGUUAACAUGAUUGCAAUGUUUUCUCUGGUACAAACGAUUUCGUGAUGGAUGCGAAAAUGCUUAUGAUAAACAAUCAUUAUAUAUCUUGAAAUAUACAUUUCAACAUAGUAGUAUAAUUUUUACAUUGCCUGGAAAACAGAAUGAAGAACCGAUUUUAUGCAUGACAUGAUUCAAAGAACUGUGACUGAACACGAAACUUAGUGUUUUGCUUAUGGAGAGAAAAACUGUUUGUAAUGCACAAGAUUCAUUUGAGUCUCAGAAACUUGGAUUUUAGGAAUCUCAAAAUAAGGCCACAUUGCUGUUUAUUUUUGACUGGAAAGGGACAGUUCGAAAACGAUUCGUUGUAGGAAACUUCCAUAUUUUACAAAAGUUUACAAAGUUAUAAUAGACAGACAUCCGAACAGAAUUCAGAAUGUAAGGCCUGUCAUAUAAUUCCAUUUUCAUCAAGCAAGUUUUAGCGAAGAAAAAUCUUAGACUUCUUAUCCACCUCCCUUACUCACCAGAUUUGGCAUCUGCAUUCAACUUAUCUCUCCUAAAUAGAAGUGUCACAUCGAAAAUCGUUAUUUUAAUAGCACUUUAGAGGUUCAGAAAAUUAUAACAGAGGCUUAUGUAUUUAAAAAUUGUAUAUUGAAGACUAAAAAGUAAUAAUGUUGUUUACUUCAACUUUAGAUUUUGUACAAACGUAGUAAUAAAAUACUGAAGAUGUACUGCGUACAUCUAGAACACGUGA